rnacentral:lncRNA from 1 species
AGUCUCUGGGUCUAACCCCUGGACAUGUGCCACUGAGAACCUUGAAAUUAAGAGGAUGCCAUGUCAUUGCAAAGAAAUGAUAGUGUGAAGGGUUAAGUUCUUUUGAAUUGUUACAUUGCGCUGGGACCUGCAAAUAAGUUCUUUUUUUCUAAUGAGGAGAGAAAAAUAUAUGUAUUUUUAUAUAAUGUCUAAAGUUAUAUUUCAGGUGUAAUGUUUUCUGUGCAAAGUUUUGUAAAUUAUAUUUGUGCUAUAGUAUUUGAUUCAAAAUAUUUAAAAAUGUCUCACUGUUGACAUAUUUAAUGUUUUAAAUGUACAGAUGUAUUUAACUGGUGCACUUUGUAAUUCCCCUGAAGGUACUCGUAGCUAAGGGGGCAGAAUACUGUUUCUGGUGACCACAUGUAGUUUAUUUCUUUAUUCUUUUUAACUUAAUAGAGUCUUCAGACUUGUCAAAACUAUGCAAGC